rnacentral:tRNA from 1 species
AUUUAUAUAGUUUAAUAAAAAAAACACUACAGUUUCAUUGUAAAAUUAAGAAAUUUAAUUUCUUUAUAAAUA